rnacentral:rRNA from 1 species
ACUCCUGCGGGAGGCAGCAGUGGGGAAUUUUGGACAAUGGGCGAAAGCCUGAUCCAGCAAUGCCGCGUGAGUGAAGAAGGCCUUCGGGUUGUAAAGCUCUUUUGUCAGGGAAGAAACGGUGAAAGCUAAUAUCUUUUGCUAAUGACGGUACCUGAAGAAUAAGCACCGGCUAACUACGUGCCAGCAGCCGCGGUAAUACGUAGGGUGCAAGCGUUAAUCGGAAUUACUGGGCGUAAAGCGUGCGCAGGCGGUUUUGUAAGUCUGAUGUGAAAUCCCCGGGCUCAACCUGGGAAUUGCAUUGGAGACUGCAAGGCUAGAAUCUGGCAGAGGGGGGUAGGAUUCCACGUGUAGCAGUGAAAUGCGUAGAUAUGUGGAGGAACACCGAUGGCGAAGGCAGCCCCCUGGGUCAAGAUUGACGCUCAUGCACGAAAGCGUGGGGAGCAAACAGGAUUAGGUACCCCUGUAGUCCCA